UCUUUUUUCAGAUUUUUCCUUAUCUUUUUCUUCUCAUUCUCACGCCAAAAUCACCAGAGAAUUAUCCAUAUGGGACGCCCCUUAUAUAGGGAAUGAAGGGGCGCCACAAAAUUCCAAAAGGGCGCCAACUCUUGGCAUCCCUUAUUCCUUACAUGCUACAUAUUUAUUUUUGCAUGGAAACCAAAGGAGUAUGGCAUGGAAUAAGAAGUGUUUUACCAGCAGAAGGACUCCUCCU
rnacentral:lncRNA from 1 species